rnacentral:rRNA from 1 species
UACAGAGGUCCCAAGCGUUGUUCGGAUUCAUUGGGCGUAAAGGGUGCGUAGGUGGCGCGCUAAGUCAGGUGUGAAAUUUCGGAGCUUAACUCCGAAACUGCAUUUGAUACUGGCGUGCUUGAGGACUGGAGAGGAGACUGGAAUUUACGGUGUAGCAGUGAAAAUGCGUAGAGAUCGUAAGGAAGACCAGUGGCGAAGGCGGGGUCUCUGGGGCAAUUCCUGACGCUGAGGCGCGAAAAGCGUGGGGGGAGCAAAACGGGG